rnacentral:rRNA from 1 species
AUUGAACGCUGGCGGCAGGCCUAACACAUGCAAGUCGAGCGGGGUUUUCGGACCUAGCGGCGGACGGGUGAGUAAUGCGUAGGAAGCUGCCCGAUAGAGGGGGAUACCAGUUGGAAACGACUGUUAAUACCGCAUAAUGUCUACGGACCAAAGUGUGGGACCUUCGGGCCACAUGCUAUCGGAUGCGCCUACGUGGGAUUAGCUAGUUGGUGAGGUAAUGGCUCACCAAGGCGACGAUCUCUAGCUGGUUUGAGAGGAUGGUUAGCGACACUGGAACUGAGACACGGUCCAGACUCCUACGGGAGGCAGCAGUGGGGAAUAUUGAGCAAUGGGCGCAAGCCUGAUCCAGCCAUGCCGCGUGUGUGAAGAAGGCCUUCGGGUUGUAAAGCACUUUCAGCGAGGAGGAAGGGGUGUGUGUUAAUAGUACACACCUUUGACGUUACUCGCAGAAGAAGCACCGGCUAACUCUGUGCCAGCCGCCGCCGUAAUAC